UUGACAUAUCACGAGUAACGAUAAUCGAAGAUAUAUUAUUGUAAUUGCCCAUCUGUGGAAGCAAGCAUAAACGAAAUGCUAAUAAAAAAAUGGAAUUUAAGGUAGAAUUGAAAAAUUAUUGAAUUUCACAAUAUUUUUAAGUAUUUUAAAAUGUAUAAAUUGAUACAUGAACUCAAUCACCAAUAUUUUCGAAACACUUAAAAUCUUCCUUAUAAGCUUGAACUUUUUUUUUCACUCCGACGUUGCGGACAGCCUUGCGUUUCGCCAAAUAUAUGAACGACCGAAUGGACCCCUGUGCAAAUUUUUACUAUUUCAAAUGUGAAUUUUACAUAAACAAUUCAUCAAUGAACGAUACAGAUAAUAUUGUUGCAAUAACAAAAUGACAUUAAUCAUAUGGCAAUGCUUGACCUGAGUGAACGAGUGAAAGCAUUCAGAAAGACUAAAAUUUAUUAUUAAAACUGCAUGAUGGAAGGAAUUUUUCAUAGUUUGAGAGGUUCAGUCUUUGUUAAAGAUUAUAACGAUUUUACACAUUCAUUGGUACUGGACCUCUAAUAGAAAUUUGGGAUUUGAUCGGCGGAUGGCUCAUAAUUAAUGGUAGCCGAUGGGAUAUGAACGUAAUCUAAUGUAUUGGAAAGCAUUCACAAGAUACGAAAAAGUAAAUUCAUAGAAUUCUUUCCUGUAACGGUGAUAAUUGAUUUUGAUAACCUAGACUCUGCAAAGUACACUAUCAAAGUUUAAAAUGCUAAGCUAAACGUUGAUCGAGCAUUUUUCACAGAUAAUGAUCACAACAAGAUGUUGAAACCAUUUUUUAAUUUGAUCAUUAGUAUAUCAACAAUUUUAGGUGCAAAUAAUGAUGACAAUACAUGGAGAGUGAUGCCACAGGUUGUUGAUUUCGAAUUUAAGCUAUAUAAUGUAAGUACCGACAGAGUAUGUGUUUGUGUUAGGGAAUGUAUGAUUUAACUAAAAACUGAUUUACCGGAGUACGAAUGAAAAUGUGAAUAGGUGUUCGGUUUUCGUAAUUAUAUAAAGCAGGUUACACGUUGAUAAAAAUUGCACUACUAUUGACAAAUAAAAUAAUUUAAACAAAACAGUGCAAAU